GACCCCAGGUCAGGCGGGGCCACCCGCUGAGCUUAA
rnacentral:rRNA from 1 species